CUCUUAUUGAGAGUGGUCGAGGGACUGGCCCUAUGACACCCGGCAACCAGUGUGAAAUACACAAGGUGCUAAAUCCAGCAGAACAAUUUUUGUUCUGAAAAAUGAGAG
rnacentral:ncRNA from 2 species